rnacentral:ncRNA from 2 species
GCUCACGAGCGGACGACUGUUCGGGUACCUGGCCCGUCGUCCCGGCAACCGCGCCCCACCGCACGGUGCCCCAGGGGAAGAGCCGGCACGACAGUGCAAGCGGUGGAC